GGGCAAGUGCGGCGUGCUACACAUGCAGUCGAACGGUGAAGCCCAGCUUGCUGGGUGGAUCAGUGGCGAACGGGUGACUAUACGUGAGCAACGUGCCCCAGACUCUGGGAUAACAGUUGGAAACAGCUGCUAAUACCGGAUACGAGACGUGGCCGCAUGGUCGACGUUUGGAAAGAUUUUUUGGUCUGGGAUCGGCUCGCGGCCUAUCAGCUUGUUGGUGAGGUAAUGGCUCACCAAGGCGUCGACGGGUAGCCGGCCUGAGAGGGUGACCGGCCACACUGGGACUGAGACACGGCCCAGACUCCUACGGGAGGCAGCAGUGGGGAAUAUUGCACAAUGGGCGGAAGCCUGAUGCAGCAACGCCGCGUGAGGGAUGACGGCCUUCGGGUUGUAAACCUCUUUUAGCAGGGAAGAAGCGAAAGUGACGGUACCUGCAGAAAAAGCGCCGGCUAACUACGUGCCAGCAGCCGCGGUAAUACGUAGGGCGCAAGCGUUAUCCGGAAUUAUUGGGCGUAAAGAGCUCGUAGGCGGUUUGUCGCGUCUGCUGUGAAAUCCCGAGGCUCAACCUCGGGCCUGCAGUGGGUACGGGCAGACUAGAGUGCGGUAGGGGAGAUUGGAAUUCCUGGUGUAGCGGUGGAAUGCGCAGAUAUCAGGAGGAACACCGAUGGCGAAGGCAGAUCUCUGGGCCGUAACUGACGCUGAGGAGCGAAAGGGUGGGGAGCAAACAGGCUUAGAUACCCUGGUAGUCCACCCCGUAAACGUUGGGAACUAGUUGUGGGGUCCAUUCCACGGAUUCCGUGACGCAGCUAACGCAUUAAGUUCCCCGCCUGGGGAGUACGGCCGCAAGGCUAAAACUCAAAGGAAUUGACGGGGACCCGCACAAGCGGCGGAGCAUGCGGAUUAAUUCGAUGCAACGCGAAGAACCUUACCAAGGCUUGACAUAUAAGAGGAAACGGCUGGAAACAGUUGCCCCGCAAGGUCUCUAUACAGGUGGGGGCAUGGUUGUCGUCAGCUCGUGUCGUGAGAUGUUGGGGUUAAGUCCCGCAACGAGCGCAACCCUCGUUCUAUGUUGCCCAGCCGUAAUGGGGGGGAACUCAUGGGAAACUGCCGGGGU
rnacentral:rRNA from 1 species